rnacentral:rRNA from 1 species
AUGAAGAUACCUCUUAAGAAUAAAAUCUUUGUGUGGUAUCUUCGUCGCGGAGUCGUUCUUACUAAAUAUAAUAUUAUUAAGAGAAAUUGGUAUGGAAGUCCGCAGUGUGUCUUUUGUCACCAUGAUGAGACAAUAAAACAUUUGUUCUUCCAAUGCAAAUUGGCUCAUUCUAUAUGGUCAGUCAUCCAGAUAGCUUCUGGUUGUAUCCUCCUUAUAGUGUUCCUAAUGUAUUUGGCAACUGGUUACAUGGGAUUGAUCACAAGUUUAGAACUCUUCUUAGGGUGGGAGCGCUUGCCGUUAUCUGUUCACUUUGGCUAUGUAGAAAUGAUAAGGUUUUCAAUGAUAAAAGUACUUCUCUGA